UGGGGAAUAUUGCACAAUGGGGGAAACCCUGAUGCAGCGACGCCGCGUGAGCGAUGAAGUAUUUCGGUAUGUAAAGCUCUAUCAGCAGGGAAGAAAAUGACGGUACCUGACUAAGAAGCCCCGGCUAACUACGUGCCAGCAGCCGCGGUAAUACGUAGGGGGCAAGCGUUAUCCGGAUUUACUGGGUGUAAAGGGAGCGUAGACGGCUGUGCAAGCCAGAUGUGAAAGCCCGGGGCUCAACCCCGGGACUGCAUUUGGAACUGCGUGGCUUGAGUGUCGGAGA
rnacentral:rRNA from 1 species